rnacentral:rRNA from 1 species
AACGAACGCUGGCGGCAUGCCUAACACAUGCAAGUCGAACGAGACCUUCGGGUCUAGUGGCGCACGGGUGCGUAACGCGUGGGAACCUGCCCUUAGGUUCGGAAUAACUCCCCGAAAGGGGUGCUAAUACCGGAUAAUGUCUUCGGACCAAAGAUUUAUCGCCUUUGGAUGGCCCCGCGUUGGAUUAGCUAGUUGGUAGGGUAAAAGCCUACCAAGGCGACGAUCCAUAGCUGGUCUGAGAGGAUGAUCAGCCACACUGGGACUGAGACACGGCCCAGACUCCUACGGGAGGCAGCAGUGGGGAAUAUUGGACAAUGGGCGAAAGCCUGAUCCAGCAAUGCCGCGUGAGUGAUGAAGGCCUUAGGGUUGUAAAGCUCUUUUACCCGGGAUGAUAAUGACAGUACCGGGAGAAUAAGCUCCGGCUAACUCCGUG